rnacentral:ncRNA from 2 species
UAACGACUGCAUGACUGGCGGAAGUAGGAUCACCUACAGGGAGUGCAGUAAGUAACGUGCCGACCGCCUGGGCAGCCUGU